rnacentral:tRNA from 2 species
AUUCAAAUAGUUUAAUGAAAAUUUUGAUUUGUGGAGUCAAGGAUGUUACUAAUUACUUUGAAUA